CCUACGGGUGGCAGCAGUGGGGAAUAUUGCACAAUGGGGGAAACCCUGAUGCAGCGACGCCGCGUGAGUGAAGAAGUAAUUCGUUACGUAAAGCUCUAUCAGCAGGGAAGAAAUACUGACCUUACGGUCAGCAGACGGUACCUGAGUAAGAAGCCCCGGCUAACGACGUGCCAGCAGACGCGGUAAUACGUAGGGGGCAAGCGUUAUCCGGAUUUACUGGGUGUAAAGGGCACGUAGACGGUGCGGCAAGUAUGGAGUGAAAUACCGGGGAUGAACUGCGGAACUGCUUUGGACACUGGGGAACUAGAGUGAGGGAGGGGUAAGCGGAAUUCCUAGUGUAGCGGUGAAAUGCGUAGAUAUUAGGAGGAACACCGGUGGCGAAGGCGGCUUACUGGACCGUAACUGACGUUGAGGCUCGAAAGCGUGGGGAGCAAUCAGGAUUAGAUACCCUUGUAGUC
rnacentral:rRNA from 1 species